rnacentral:rRNA from 1 species
GAUGAACGCUGGCGGCGUGCCUAAUACAUGCAAGUCGAGCGAACGGACGAGAAGCUUGCUUCUCUGAUGUUAGCGGCGGACGGGUGAGUAACACGUGGAUAACCUACCUAUAAGACUGGGAUAACUUCGGGAAACCGGAGCUAAUACCGGAUAAUAUUUUGAACCGCAUGGUUCAAAAGUGAAAGACGGUCUUGCUGUCACUUAUAGAUGGAUCCGCGCUGCAUUAGCUAGUUGGUAAGGUAACGGCUUACAAAGGCAACGAUGCAUAGCCGACCUGAGAGGGUGAUCGGCCACACUGGAACUGAGACACGGUCCAGACUCCUACGGGAGGCAGCAGUAGGGAAUCUUCCGCAAAGGGCGAAAGCCUGACGGAGCAACGCCGCGUGAGUGAUGAAGGUCUUCGGAUCGUAAAACUCUGUUAUUAGGGAAGAACAUAUGUGUAAGUAACUGUGCACAUCUUGACGGUACCUAAUCAGAAAGCCACGGCUAACUACGUG